ACUCGGUCCUACCUCCUGCUUAUUCUAAAUUUUCUGUUUCAUGAUUAAAAGUAAAGGAGAAAGCCAGAAGUCAAAAGCCUGUACCACAUUCUGCCUCUAAUUUAUCUCUUAUCAUUGCCUGUUUAUUUGUUCGUCUCACUCCCUCACAUUGGAGCUCUUCAAGGGCAAGUGCCAUCUGUUUAAUUACCUGUCUACCAGAUAUUGCCAAAUGCUGGAUCAUAAAGGACAGAGGAAUUCUGAGGAGUAUGAGACCAUGGAGACAUGGGGCCAGUAAAGACUUACAAAGAACUUGGUCUUGGAGGUAGUGCUGCUAGCAGAUGGCCCUUACUCCCAUCCCUCUUCCACUCUCUUUUCUGAUGAUAGACACCUUCAUGCCAGCUUCCUAGGCAGCCUAAAACCAAUGACUGGUCUACACAGGAGGAUAAUAACUCCGUCAAUCUCACUCCAUUUCAGAACCCUGAAGGGCCGUCCCAGCUUCAGAACUCCCCAUUGAUUAGCUUCAGCCUUGUUGCCAUGAAUUCUCCAUGUGGCCAACCCUGCCUCCUUCCCUCUCUUCCACAAGGGCUGAUUCAAGAGCUCUUCUUAUAAAUAUCAGACAUACUACUCUCUGUUUCGUUCUGCUUCCUAGGGAAGCAACCUGGAAGCAACCUGCCAGUGUGAGCUAAGAGGUCUUUAAGCAAGAGAAUGAAAAGAUCAGCUUGGGUGGUGGUGGUGAUAACUCAGAUCAGUGUGAGGAUGGGCUAGGUUUGGGAGAGACUGGAGGAGGGAUCAGUUAGGAAACUGGGGUAAAACUCCAAGUGGGAGAUAAUGAAAUCCUGAACAAGGGUAGAGGCAAAAAGAACUAUGUGUAGUCAUCAGCUUUUCCAUAAUAGCCUCAUGGAGAGAAGGCCAUUAUUUUCAGAGAAGCCCGGCCUACUGCAUGGAAUUAAAAGCAGUCCUUCCUCAUGAUGGCCCAUUUCUGGUCCUCAUUUCUCAUCUGGUUUUGCAGAACACAUCUGCUUUCUUACCAAAAAUAUGUUCUCUG